UACGGAGGAUCCAAGCGUUAUCCGGAUUUAUUGGGUUUAAAGGGUGCGUAGGCGGCCUGUUAAGUCAGAGGUGAAAGGCGGUAGCUUAACUAUCGGAGUGCCUUUGAUACUGACGGGCUUGAAUACAGCUGAGGUAGGCGGAAUGUGACAAGUAGCGGUGAAAUGCAUAGAUAUGUCACAGAACACCGAUUGCGAAGGCAGCUUACUAAAGUGUAAUUGACGCUGAGGCACGAAAGCGUGGGGAUCAAACAGG
rnacentral:rRNA from 1 species